CCUACGGGCGGUCGUCCGUCGUAAAGUAGUCCCCGCGAAGCUUUCGGGAAGAGGGGUAGUCUUGUGCGUAAGCAUAGCAUUUCUGGUCGAACCCGCCCAACCCAACUAAGACGAACCGAACCUGACAGACACAUCUUUUUCCUUUUGGGAGGGUACUCCCGAGUAGUGGGUACCUCGUAGGACCUCGACCCGCCUACUCGGGUCUUGUAUGGAUAUGCAGGAAGGGGUGCUCCUAGGUGUGUGUAGGGGUUGUGUUUGUUCGCGAGAAUGGAUUCCUCGUCAAGUCAGUGUGGGGGGUGUGGACACACUUGCGCGAAUUCGGGUAACGGCUACAAGGGAUAAAUCGAAAGGAAACUGUACCCAACCAGGGAUGGACGUAAACUCGUAAGCUACCGAGGGUAGGGAUAAUCGUCCAGGUCUUAUUGUGAAAAAAAAAAGCCGCCCCGCCACAGCAGGCGGGUUGGUUCCUCUGUCGUCGCCGGGGAGCUCUUGGUGAGGAGACCUUAGGAUAAGUUGCUAAAACAACAAAAAGGGGAGGGGAGGAUCGACCCGUUCAGUAUAAUUACGAAGAAAGACUGUUGGCAGCAGGUGGAGACAUUUCUUUGGCCCCCUUCAAAAAAAAAUGGAAAUGCGGGCAGGGUUAAGCUCGGUAGAGGGUUCGAGAAUAGGGUAGGGUCCUGUCUUUAAGAUUCAGAUAAGAAAAAAGAGUUCCAAACCUUUAUGCAUGCAUGCACCUUCGUAUAAGUGCUGCAUACAAGUUCCGGCCAGGAUAAUUGGGAAAAAAAAAAGCAAUUUGAACCGCUCACAUCACAGUAGUAGUAGCGUAAAGCCGUAAGUCGGGGGGCGGCCAUAAAAUAAAGGCUAUUACUUUCACAUCUCUCUCUCUAGAUAUCUAGAGAGAGAGAUCCACUGCGUGAGCAACCCGACUGUGCGUUACAUGUGCUCUACAGGCCGCACUCCAUCUUUCUUCUUCCAACGAGCCCUUUUUGGAUUUGGAAGACGGGCGUUGCGUUCGGUUCGAAAGGCAUGGUUUUCAGUAUGUCUCCAGAUAGGGCCCCCACUAGUCCUGAGCGGUUCUUUCGGGCGAGAAGCGGGCCGGGCCCUACGGUACGGGCGGGCAUCUCCCGCAACGCAAGCUGCAUUGUUCGCCACCACCCGAGAAGCAAAAGAUUCGAGAGGUCCAGGCUUAAUAUACAUGCAUAGAUAGUGGUCUAAUGACAAGGGCCGACGACGGAAGCUCGGGACGGAGCCGUAUGAUGCGGAAGUCUCACGUACGGUUCCCUGAGAAGGGAGUGGCUACCUACUGGAGCUUCGACCAACCACCACCGGUAAAUUCCGCUUUGGGGCCACCCCUGACUCUAC